rnacentral:rRNA from 1 species
UACGUAGGGUGCAAGCGUUGUCCGGAAUUAUUGGGCGUAAAGAGCUCGUAGGCGGUCUUUCGCGUCGGCUGUGAAAUCCCGAGGCUCAACCUCGGGUCUGCAGUCGAUACGGGCAAACUAGAGUAUUGCAGGGGAGACUGGAAUUCCUGGUGUAGCGGUGAAAUGCGCAGAUAUCAGGAGGAACACCGGUGGCGAAGGCGGGUCUCUGGGCAAUAACUGACGCUGAGGAGCGAAAGCGUGGGGAGCGAACAGG